rnacentral:rRNA from 1 species
UAAUACGUAGGCAGCGAGCGUUGUUCGGAGUUACUGGGCGUAAAGCGUGCGUAGGCGGUGUCCUAAGUUUGGUGUGAAAUCUCCCGGCUCAACUGGGAGGGUGCGCCGAAAACUGGGGUGCUGGAGUGUGGGAGAGGUAGGCGGAAUUCCUGGUGUAGCGGUGAAAUGCGUAGAUAUCAGGAGGAACACCUGUGGUGUAGACGGCUUACUGGACCAUGACUGACGCUGAGGCACGAAAGCGUGGGGAGCAAACAGG